rnacentral:misc_RNA from 1 species
AAGUCGUAACAAGGUUUCCGUAGGUGAACCUGCGGAAGGAUCAUUGCGAAUGUUUUUGGCUGGUUCGGGGUUUUGCUCCGACUGGCCACAUGUGCACAGCGGCAGCCCCGUGCUGCUGCUGAUGUCUACGCUUGUUUGUUUGACAGAUCGAUAGGACGAAAUAUAGACAACUUUUAACAACGGAUCUCUUGGCUCUU